AUCCCUUUGUUCUUGGUAAGCAUGAUGAUUGAGUUUUCCUGUUCAUAUGUGAGAGGUGCCUCUCUCAAACCUUGACACAUUCCCCUUCCAACU
ensembl:snoRNA